rnacentral:rRNA from 1 species
GACGAACGCUGGCGGCGUGCUUAAAACAUGCAAGUCGAACGGACUUCUCAUGAAGCUUGCGAUUGAGAAGUUAGUGGCGGACGGGUGAGUAACGCGUGGGCAACCUGCCCCUGAGCCCGGGAUAACAGUUCGAAAGGACUGCUAAGACCGGAUAUACUUGCGGGGAAGCAUUUCACUGCAAGGAAAGGGAACGCUCAGGGAUGGGCCCGCGUCCCAUUAGCUAGUUGGUGAGGUAACGGCCCACCAAGGCGACGAUGGGUAGCCGGCCUGAGAGGGUGAACGGCCACACUGGGACUGAGACACGGCCCAGACUCCUACGGGAGGCAGCAGUUGGGAAUCUUCGGCAAUGGGCGCAAGCCUGACCGAGCAACGCCGCGUGAGUGAUGAAGGUUUUCGGAUUGUAAAGCCCUGUCUUCCGGGACGAUAAUGACGGUACCGGAGGAGGAAGCCACGGCUAACUACGUG